GAAUAGGUAAUAAAAAAGGAACGAAGAACUUCAGCCACAUUAAAAUGACAGCAGUUAAAAAAAAAAUGCCAUGACUAAAGAACAAAUUGGGACUACCCCUUAUUAAAGCUAAGACAGAAAAAUUACAAUCAAUACACUCCUCUUGAGAAGUUUCCAUGAUGGUUUUUGUAGGCUUUCUAAAACUCUUUAAGAUAGGUGGAGUAUCAGGCAACAUGCCAAAACAGUUUUUGAGCCAAUCUUUUGUUGUGAGAAAGCUCCAUCAGCUGGCAUGACACCAGGGAUAAGACAAGCCUACUCAAGAACUAUAGAUAGAUCAUAAUUGAAAUAUUUACUCCCUCGGAAGGCUCACAUUCUCAGUUGAAGAUGCUCUCUAUAGAUAGAUCAUAAUUGAAAUAUUU
rnacentral:lncRNA from 1 species